UGCCCCCUUCUCACUCUGCCAACUGGACUUAUGUCUUAAUUGGUUGUGCAAGUGGGGCAAAGGAAGUGUCCUUUGGAAAAACAA
rnacentral:snoRNA from 1 species